rnacentral:rRNA from 1 species
UUGAUAUUUCCAUUGGUAUACAAACGUAUUGAGUUGGGAUUGAUAUUUCCGGUGCCCACGGCAUCUGUUGAGAGAGCUUUUUAAGCAAUGAAGAUUAUCAAGAAUAAAGUGCGUACCGCGGUCAAUAAUGAAUGGCUCAAUGACAUGAUGAUAUGUUACACCGAGCGGGAGUUAUUCAAGUCAGUUGAUGAUAAGGAUGUUAUUCGAACAUUUACUGCAAUGAUGACUCAAAAAGGGCAUUUGCCUUGUGAUUUUGUUUAG